rnacentral:rRNA from 1 species
CCAUUCGAUGUUCGGAGCUGCACGCGCGCUACACUGUGGGUGGCAGCAUGUUAGCUUGCCUCGCUCGCAAGAGCGGGGUAAUCGUUUGAAAAUCCCACGUGAUUGGGAUAGGGACUUGUAAUUAUUUCCCUUGAACGAGGAAUCCCUAGUAAGUGCAGGUCAUCAGCUUGCGCUGAUUACGUCCCUGCCCUUUGUACACACCGCCCGUCGCUACUACCGAUUGAACGUUUUAGUGAGGUAUUUGGACUGGACCUUCGGAGGUUCGCGCCUCCGUUGCUGUUCGGGAAGACUCCCAAACUUGAGCGUUUAGAGGAAGUAAAANUCGUANCA